rnacentral:rRNA from 1 species
UACGUAGGGUGCGAGCGUUGUCCGGAAUUACUGGGCGUAAAGAGCUCGUAGGUGGUUUGUCGCGUUGUUCGUGAAAACUCACAGCUUAACUGUGGGCGUGCGGGCGAUACGGGCAGACUGGAGUACUGCAGGGGAGACUGGAAUUCCUGGUGUAGCGGUGAAAUGCGCAGAUAUCAGGAGGAACACCGGAUGGCGAAGGCAGGUCUCUGGGCCUUACCUGACGCUGAGGAGCGAAAGCGUGGGGAGCGAACAGG